rnacentral:ncRNA from 1 species
UAAAGGUUUGGUCCCAGCCUUUCUAUUAGUUCUAAACAGACUUACACAUGCAAGCAUCUACACCCCGGUGAGAACACCCUCUAAAUCAUCAAGGAUCAAAAGGAGUGGGCAUCAAGCACACUAGCAAUAGCAGCUUACGACGCCUCGCUUAGCCACACCCCCACGGGACACAGCAGUGAUAAAAAUUAAGCCAUGAACGAAAGUUUGACUAAGUCAUGUUUACAAGGGUUGGUAAACUUCGUGCCAGCCACCGCGGUCAUACGAUUAACCCAAAUUAAUAGGAAUACGGCGUAAAGAGUGUUAAGGAAUUACAUAAAAUAAAGUCAAGCCUUAAUUAAGCUGUAAAAAGCCCUAAUUAAAACUAAGCUAAACUACGAAAGUGACUUUAAUAUAAUCUGAUUACACGACAGCUAAGAUCCAAACUGGGAUUAGAUACCCCACUAUGCUUAGCCAUAAACUCUAAUAGUCACGAAACAAGACUACUCGCCAGAGUACUACUAGCAACAGCCUAAAACUCAAAGGACUUGGCGGUGCUUCAUACCCCCCUAGAGGAGCCUGUUCUAUAAACGAUAAACCCCGAUCAACCUCACCAACCCUUGCUACUACAGUCUAUAUACCGCCAUCUUCAGCAAACCCCAAAGGGAACGAAAGUAAGCAUAAACAUCCCACAUAAAAACGUUAGGUCAAGGUGUAACCUAUGGGUUGGGAAGAAAUGGGCUACAUUUUCUAUAUUAAGAACAUUCCUUAUACUCACACGAAAGUUUUUAUGAAACUUAAAAACCAAAGGAGGAUUUAGCAGUAAAUCAAGAGCAGAGUGCUUGAUUGAAUAAGGCCAUGGAGCACGCACACACCGCCCGUCACCCUCCUCAAGUACCCUAGCAAAGCCCCAGUUCGUUGACCCACGCUAAGCAAUCAUACGAGAGGAGACAAGUCGUAACAAGGUAAGCAUACCGGAAGGUGUGCUUGGACAAAC